rnacentral:rRNA from 1 species
GACAGAGGAUGCAAGCGUUAUCCGGAAUGAUUGGGCGUAAAGCGUCUGUAGGUGGCUUUUCAAGUCCGCCGUCAAAUCCCAGGGCUCAACCCUGGACAGGCGGUGGAAACUACCAAGCUAGAGUGCGUUCGGGGCAGAGGGAAUUCCUGGUGUAGCGGUGAAAUGCGUAGAGAUCAGGAAGAACACCGGUGGCGAAAGCGCUCUGCUAGGCCGCAACUGACACUGAGGGACGAAAGCUAGGGGAGCGAAUGGG